rnacentral:rRNA from 1 species
UACGUAGGGUGCGAUCGUUAAUCGGAAUUACUGGGCGUAAAGCGUGCGCAGGCGGCUUUGCAAGACAGAUGUGAAAUCCCCGGGCUCAACCUGGGAACUGCAUUUGUGACUGCAAGGCUAGAGUACGGCAGAGGGGGAUGGAAUUCCGCGUGUAGCAGUGAAAUGCGUAGAUAUGCGGAGGAACACCAAUGGCGAAGGCAAUCCCCUGGGCCUGUACUGACGCUCAUGCACGAAAGCGUGGGGAGCAAACAGG